rnacentral:misc_RNA from 1 species
AACGGUCUAUACCUGCGGUACCUGCGGAGGGAUCAUUAUAGAGUGGUAAACCCCCCGUAAAAGGGGGGGACCUCCUGUCCUUUGUAGGCUCUUUUUUAAAAGGGCUUUUUUUAAUUUUCUGCUUCGGUGGGGUUAUCCCACCGGAACAACCUCAAAACUCUUAUCAAAAAAUCGUUCUGUCUGAGAACCUUUUAUAAUAAAAAAAAACUUUCAGCAACGGAUCUCUAGAUCGGAAGAGCA